UGGUCCGGUGAGGAAAAACCUUCUAAUCAUACCAUCUUUCGGGACUGAUCAGCUGUUAUGCGGCUAUGCUGUCAUUCUGCAAUUCUGAGGCCA